rnacentral:lncRNA from 14 species
GUUCAAGAUAGCUCCUAGCACAAGAGUCUUCUGCAUUUAUCAUACAUAGUCUGUGAAGACAGCUCAGGAAGACCAGAGACCCAUCAUGGAAUAACAGUAGAAAAGCACAAGGUGUGACCCCUGCAUGUUUCCUGGCUUCUGACGAACAGCAAUGCCCACAGUUAUGUCUUCAGGGAUGGACCCCUGAC